rnacentral:tRNA from 1 species
GCGGGCGUAGCUCAGUGGUAGAGCUCCUGCUUCCCAAGCAGGUGGUCGCCAGUUCGAAUCUGGUCGCCCGCUCCA